rnacentral:rRNA from 1 species
GACGAACGCUGGCGGCGUGCCUAAUACAUGCAAGUCGAGCGGACAGACGGGAGCUUGCUCCCUGAUGUUAGCGGCGGACGGGUGAGUAACACGUGGGUAACCUGCCUGUAAGACUGGGAUAACUCCGGGAAACCGGGGCUAAUACCGGAUGGUUGUCUGAACCGCAUGGUUCAGACAUAAAAGGUGGCUUCGGCUACCACUUACAGAUGGACCCGCGGCGGAUUAGCUAGUUGGUGAGGUAACGGCUCACCAAGGCAACGAUGCGUAGCCGACCUGGGAGGGUGAUCGGCCACACUGGGACUGGGACACGGCCCAGACUCCUACGGGAGGCAGCAGUAGGGAAUCUUCCGCAAUGGACGAAAGUCUGACGGAGCAACGCCGCGUGAGUGAUGAAGGUUUUCGGAUCGUAAAGCUCUGUUGUUAGGGAAGAACAAGUGCCGUUCAAAUAGGGCGGCACCUUGACGGUACCUAACCAGAAAGCCACGGCUAACUACGUG